rnacentral:rRNA from 1 species
UACGAAGGCAGCAGUGGGGAAUAUUGCACAAUGGGCGCAAGCCUGAUGCAGCCAUGCCGCGUGUAUGAAGAAGGCCUUCGGGUUGUAAAGUACUUUCAGUCGUGAGGAAGGUGUUAAGGUUAAUAACCUUAGCAAUUGACGUUAGCGACAGAAGAAGCACCGGCUAACUCCGUGCCAGCAGCCGCGGUAAUACGGAGGGUGCGAGCGUUAAUCGGAAUUACUGGGCGUAAAGGGCACGCAGGCGGUUAAUUAAGUUGGAUGUGAAAUCCCCGGGCUUAACCUGGGAAUGGCAUUCAAGACUGGUUAGCUAGAGUCUUGUAGAGGGGGUAGAAUUCCAUGUGUAGCGGUGAAAUGCGUAGAGAUGUGGAGGAAUACCGGUGGCGAAGGCGGCCCCUGGGACAAAGACUGACGCUCAUGUGCGAAAGCGUGGGGAGCAAACAGGGAUUAGAUACC